CUGACAAUAAUUUUUAAUUAUCCUGUGAUGUGUUUACAGUGUUGGAAUAUUUGCUUACUUGACUUUAACAGGUUGGCAAGGGAAGAGAUGUUGGACUGAAUCAGAUUACUCUGUUUGAGGGGACAGUGGCUGGUGUUAAUGGUGAACAAGUUAACUUAGUAGGGAUGUUUCUAGGCUUCUGUGUGCAGAUUCGUUUUGGGGUUCAUCUUUGGUUAUAUUUUAGGGAAGAAGCUUCUCGGGUAUGGCUAAUUAUCUCAUUUCUUGAUCAUUCUGUGAAAAUCUUGCAAAAUUUGAAGAAUUCUUGUUUGUCUUUGUAAACUUCUAAUGGUUGGAUAAAAAUGUAACUGGAUGAAAACAUUCAAACCUGAAAUGUAUGUUCUUCUCAAAUAUUCCAUGUUUCUCUCUCUCAGAUGGUUGGAAAUUUUGGAUCCAAGUGAUUCUUCACGGACAUAUAUGAAAAAAAAAAGUUGAGAUCUACCAAGUGUACCAUCUAUUUUGACGAUCAUAUUGUUCUUUUAUCAUUUACGAAAACUGUCCAUUUUGCAAGCCAUUGAUCAGAUGAUCAAGAUCAUCCAGUAAUUUUGGUUUAAUGUUAGUGAUCCAUGAAGAUGAUUAUUAUCCACGUGUCCAAUAUAACCCAUUUGUACCCCAAUACAUAGGAUACAUAGAACAAGUACUUUU